rnacentral:tRNA from 1 species
GGGGUUGUGGCUCGGUGGUAGAGUGCUUGUUCAGCACACGAGAGGCACUGGGUUCAAUCCUCAGCAUCACCU